CAGUACGAGUUCUUAUAUAGCGCACUCGUCAGCUCGCUGAGUGAUAUCAGCAGACCAAUUAGAGGAACACAUUUUCGCAAGUACAUCAAUCAGAUGGGGAAGGAAGGAUUCAAUCGACAGUUUCAGGAAAUGCAAACAGUUUUAGAAAAGCCGUCAGGUUAUGGAAAGCAGACCAUAUAGAGGAAUAACAGAAUAAAAGGAGAUCGCAACAGACCUAGCAGGUUCCUUAAUAGCCCACCUGGAGCUCCUGAAUGUAUAAAUGCAGUUUACAUCGACAGCUUGAAAGCAAGGACUCGCUUUUUGGUUGUUCAAAGUCCAAUGAAAGAAAAUGUGAUCGACUUUCUGACACUGCUGUCCAAGGAAAAGUGUACUUGUGUCGUAAGCUUUGAACCUUACACUGACAAACAAAAG